rnacentral:lncRNA from 1 species
CCUGUGUCUCCCCUCCAGAGUGUAGGUCCCUGAGGGCAGUCACCUGAUCUGUCUCAGUCACUGCAGUGUCCCCAAACAGAGCACCGCCUCAGGCACACAGAGGGCAGUGGUGAGGACUAAAGGAGGCGAUGAGAAGAGAGUCCCCACAAGGAGUCUGGCACAGAGGAAGUUUCGACGUAUGCUGUCCAUUGCAACUUCGACUUAUGCUGCGUUUCUGUGUCGGAACAGUGGAAGACAUUCAACAAGCACUUUGUCUCAGAGGCUUAGUUACAAUUAAUUGAGCCUGAAAGACCAUAGACUUGAAAAAGCCCUCAAAGUGAUAAAGGUAAAAAGAAAAAUAAAAUGACAUCUAGCAGGCACUGAGGGCUCUACAACGUGUGGCUAGCCUGUAUUCAGCACCCUACAGUGUGCAGCCAGGCUGUGCUCAGCAUCCUACAGUGUGCAGCCAGGCUGUGCUCAGUACUCUACAGUGAGUAGCCAGCCUGUGCUCAGCACUCCGCAGUGAGUGGCCAGCCUGUGCUCAGCACUCUACAGUAUGUGGCCAAACUGUGCUCAGCACUCCACAGUGAGUGGCCAGCCUGUGGUCAGGACUCUACAGUGAGUGGCCAGUCUAUACUCUGCACUCUACAGUGAGUGGCCAGCCUGUACACAGCACUCCACAGUCGUCAUCUUUUCAUCAUAAAUCUAAUGGCCACUUAAUGAGGUAGACCUGUCCCAUGACUUGAACUGAUUUCAAAAACUCAAAACUCAUACUCUCUUGCAUUUGGCAACCAAAACACAACCCACUUCCUGGGACCUUCUGACAGCCAGGCCACGUUGAGCAAACACCGAGCCCUCUUCAGAGUUGGUCAGCAGCCAGGUCAGCAGCGACUGGCAAGGCGACUGCUUGCCAGGUCUCCUCCAGCAUGAGCUUGGGAUGGAGCUGAAUCCCUUUCAUGCACAAGCAGAAUUUGAAAAGGUGCGGGGCCACACUAGUACCUCUGCGUCUCCUGCCAGAGCCCACCAGCUUAUUUUGCUUCUUCAGAGUCUGUAAAGCAUCCUUCUGGAUGACGAAUGCCUUCCGAGGCUCCAGCCCACCAAGCCUUCCUCUAAGUUUCAGAUGCAGAGGCCACCUCGGAGAACUGUGAUUGUCUCCCUGCAUCUCCCCAGUGCCCCCGGAUGAGUGCCACCCUCCUCACCUGCUAUCACAAAGACAAGAAAGGCCAUUCAUAAUUUAAGUCAGCCCUUUCUUUCCUGCACGCCACCAACAUGAGUCAGAUGCUGGAGGAAAAAUUGAACUCUUUCUCCCAGGAUACACCAAAGAUCAAGCAGAAUCUCAUUAAGGCUCACUUCAAAGACUCGUCCUUUAUUUCCAUACAAACAAGUUUAAAUUAUCGUGUGUGAAUCUGCUGUUAGCAGGGACUCUGUUCCAUUAUGCAUGAUUCCUUACUGUUCAUAUCAUGAAUAAUGGGCAGUGCUCCGUUAGCGAUUUCCAGUAAUAUGCUAAACUUUGGGAGUGGUCAUGGUGUUAGGUUAAAGUUCUGGUGUUUGCCUAUUUUAUUUCUUACUCAAGCUAUAAUGGCCUGCUUCAUCAAAAUAGGUUUCACAGUCUUAUUGUAAUGAACACAGCAUAACACAUGUUGUGGCUAUGAUUUCCUUAUUAUUAUUAUUGAAUAUUUAUUGAGCACUUACUAUGUGUAAGGGAUGGUGCUCAGUGUAUGCAUUGCAUGCAUAAUAUUUAAUCUUCCGGAAUCCCAUGAAAUAGCUAUGAUGAUUAUUCCCAUUUUACUGGUGAAAAAAACUGAUAAUUUGAGCAGGAUCUAAAUUAUCCACAGAUAAAACUUUUUUGUGUGUUUUUGAGACAGGGUCUCACUUUGUGACCCAGGCUGGAGUGCAGUGGUGCAAUUAUGGCUCACUGCAGCCUUGACUUUCCAGGCUCAAGCGAUCCUCCCACCUCAGCCUCCUGAGUAGCUGGGACUACAGGCAUGCACCAUCACACUGGCUAAUGUUUUAAACAAUUUUUGUAGAGAUGGUGUCUUGCUAUUUUGCCCAAGCUGGUCUGGAACUCCUGGGCUCAAGCAAUCUGCCCACUUCAGCCUCCCAAGAUGAUGGGAGUACAGGCAUGAGCCACCGUGCCUGGCCUGAUAGAACUGUUAAUAAAUGGUAAUGCUGAUUCAAAUCAGUUGGUCUGACUUCAGAUACUCCUAAUUAUAAAAUACUUUUUACAACGCUAUUACUUGCUGAAGAGCUUUGGCAGAUAAUCGAUGAUUUGGUAAGCAGGUAUUUGGAUGUCCAGUGCACAUUUCUCAUGUCCAGAUGAGAAAUGAAUGCUCAGGGGAUUGCUUGAUACCUGGGAGUGAGAAAAUCCUUGUUCAAGUACUGGUUUUGACUUCACUUAAUCUUGGGCAAGUCAUCCAGUCUUCCUGGAUGUGCUGAGGUGGUUGCAUUAUUGCCUUUGUAAUUUUUUUUCUUCAUUUUUUUAUUAUACUUUAAGUUCUAGGGUACAUGUGCACAACGUGCAGGUUUGUUACAUAUGUAUAUAUGUGUCAUGUUGGUGUGCUGCACCCAUUAACUCAUCAUUUUCAUAAGGUAUAUCUCCUAAUGCUAUCCCUUCCCCCUCCCCCCACUCCAUGACAGGCCCCUCUGUGUGAUGUUCCCCAUCCUGUGUCUAAGUGUUCUCAUUGUGCAAUUCCCACCUAUGAGCGAGAGAGAACAUGCGGUGUUUGGUUUUCUGUCCUUGCGAUAGUUUGCUCAGAAUGAUGGUUUCCAGCUUCAUCCAUGUCCCUACAAAGGACAUGAACUCAUCCUUUUUUAUGGCUACGUAGUAUUCCAUGGUGUAUAUGUGCCAAAUUUUCUUAAUCCAGUCUAUCAUUGGUAGACAUUUGGAUUGGUUCCAAGUCUUUGCUAUUGUGAAUAGUGCCGCAAUAAACAUACAUGUGCAUAUGUCUUU